UACGGAGGGUGCAAGCGUUGUUCGGAAUCAUUGGGCGUAAAGCGCGUGUAGGCGGCCAAAUAAGUCUGGUGUGAAAGCCCGGGGCUUAACCCCGGAAGUGCACUGGAUACUGUUUGGCUAGAGGACGAGAGAGGGAAGUGGAAUUCCUGGUGUAGGGGUGAAAUCCGUAGAUAUCAGGAGGAACAUCGGUGGCGAAGGCGACUUCCUGGCUCGUUUCUGACGCUCAGACGCGAAAGCGUGGGGAGCAAACAGG
rnacentral:rRNA from 1 species